rnacentral:rRNA from 1 species
GAUACCGGGCAGACUAGAGUACUGCAGGGGAGACUUGGAAUUCCUUGGUGUAGCGGUGGGAAUGCGCAGAUAUCAGGAGGAACACCCGGCGGGCGAAGGCGGGUCUCUGGGCAGUAACUGACGCUGAGGAGCGAAAGCGUGGGGAGCGAACAGGAUUAGAUACCCUGGUAGUUCACGCCGUAAACGGUGGGUACUAGGUGUGGGUUUCCUUCCUUGGGAUCCGUGCCGUAGCUAACGCAUUAAGUACCCCGCCUGGGGAGUACGGCCGCAAGGCUAAAACUCAAAGGAAUUGACGGGGGCCCGCACAAGCGGCGGAGCAUGUGGAUUAAUUCGAUGCAACGCGAAGAACCUUACCUGGGUUUGACAUGCACAGGACGACUGCAGAGAUGUGGUUUCCCUUGUGGCCUGUGUGCAGGUGGUGCAUGGCUGUCGUCAGCUCGUGUCGUGAGAUGUUGGGUUAAGUCCCGCAACGAGCGCAACCCUUGUCUCAUGUUGCCAGCACGUUAUGGUGGGGACUCGUGAGAGACUGCCGGGGUCAACUCGGAGGAAGGUGGGGAUGACGUCAAGUCAUCAUGCCCCUUAUGUCCAGGGCUUCACACAUGCUACAAUGGCCGGUACAAAGGGCUGCGAUGCCGUGAGGUGGAGCGAAUCCUUUCAAAGCCGGUCUCAGUUCGGAUCGGGGUCUGCAACUCGACCCCGUGAAGUCGGAGUCGCUAGUAAUCGCAGAUCAGCAACGCUGCGGUGAAUACGUUCCCGGGCCUUGUACACACCGCCCGUCACGUCAUGAAAGUCGGUAACACCCGAAGCCGGUGGCCUAACCCUUGUGGAGGGAGCCGUCGAAGGUGGGAUCGGCGA